CAAAGAAUAAGUGCACUUGAAUAUAACCAUGGCUGGGUGAGGCCGGUAUAAAUGUCUAUUCUGCACAAGGUACAGACAAGUCUGGUGGGAUCCAUGACUGGUUCAUUUUAAUAAACAUGAGCUUGUCCACGUUGGCCAUGGACAGGCGGCUGCGCUUGUCUGUGAUAACCUCGUGCUGAUCGCACGUCCCCGUGACGUGACACCGACAACGCAUUCAGAUAUCUGCCCUAUCAACUUUCGAUGCAAUUUUCCGCGCCUACCAUGGUGACCACGGGUAACGGGGAAUCAGGGUUCCAUUCCAGAGAGGGAGCCUGAGAAACGGCUACCACAUGCAAGGAAGGCAGCAGGCGCGCAAAUUACCCACUCCCGACACGGGGAGAUAGUGAUG